rnacentral:hammerhead_ribozyme from 1 species
AUCUAGGUAACAAGUCCCAAAUAGGACGAAAUGCGAGUCCUGGAU